rnacentral:lncRNA from 1 species
GGAAAACCUUGGAAGAAAUAAUCUCAAUCUAUCGGAAAUUUGGAUUGCACAUAAUCAUUAACCUGCUUGUGAUUAGUGUUUUAAGCGUCGGUGAUAUUUAAAGACACUAAACAGUUAUUGUCUUUAUCCUGCAAUUAAUUCUGUAUAUUGUUUGUGUUUUGAAAGACACAAAAACUAACAUAUUUAGCAUUUAUUUUCGAUUUGUAAUCCCUUGAGGCCCGCGUAGUAAUAUCAAAAUCACACAUUACGCUGAAGACAGGUUCGCAAAAAAAAGAAUCUCGAAUGGUCAACAAUAAUACAUUGCUGAAGGUGAAUAAUUAUCUAUUUUAACAUAACAA